rnacentral:rRNA from 1 species
AUUGAACGCUGGCGGCAGGCCUAACACAUGCAAGUCGAACGAGUGGCGCACGGGUGUGUAUUGUCCGGGAAACUCCCUGACGUAGGGAGAUAACUACUUUAAACGGUAGCUAAUACCGCAUACCAUCAGAUGUGCCCAGAUGGGUUUAGCUUGUUGGUGGGGUAAUGGCUCACCAAGGCGACGAUCCCUAGCUGGUCUGGGAGGAUGACCAGGCACACUGGAACUGAAACGCGGUACGGACUCCUACGGGAGGCGGCAGUGGGGAAUGGUGCACAAUGGACGCAGGGCUAAUGCAGCCAUGCCGAGUGUAUGAAGAGGGCCUUCGGGUUGUAGAGUACUUUCAGCGGGGAGGCGUUACCCGAAGAAGAAGCACCGGCUAACUCCGUGCCAGCAGCCGCGGUAAUUC